AUCACGCUGGCGGCGUGCCUAACACAUGCAAGUCGAACGCGAAAGUCCCGCAAGGGAUCAGUAGAGUGGCAAACGGGUGAGUAACGCGUGGGCGACCUACCUUCGAGUGGGGGAUAACCUUCCGAAAGGAGGGCUAAUACCGCAUAACAUUCCGAGUUUGGACACUCGGGUAUCAAAGCCGGGGAUCGCAAGACCUGGCGCUUGAAGAGGGGCCUGCGUCCGAUUAGCUAGUUGGUGGGGUAAUGGCUCACCAAGGCUUCGAUCGGUAUCCGGCCUGAGAGGGCGGACGGACACACUGGGACUGAGACACGGCCCAGACUCCUACGGGAGGCAGCAGUGGGGAAUUGUUCGCAAUGGGCGCAAGCCUGACGACGCAACGCCGCGUGGAGGAUGAAGACCUUCGGGUCGUAAACUCCUUUCGACCGAGAUGAAUUCCUGCCGGCUGAAUACGCUGGCAGUUUGACAGUAUCGAGGGAAGCAGCCCCGGCUAACUCCGUGCCAGCAGCCGCGGUAAUACGGGGGGGGCAAGCGUUGUUCGGAAUUACUGGGCGUAAAGGGUUUGUAGGUGGCCCGCUAAGUCACACGUGAAAUCCCUCAGCUUAACUGGGGAACUGCGUGUGAGACUGGCAGGCUC
rnacentral:rRNA from 1 species